GGCUGGGUAGCUCAGUGGUAGAGCAGAGGACUCAUAAGCCUCCGGUCCCGGGUUCAAGUCCCGGCCCAGCCA
rnacentral:tRNA from 1 species